GACAGAGGUGCCGAGCGUUAGGCGGAAUCACUGGGCUUAAAGGGCGCGUAGGCGGCUUGAUAAGCGUGCGGUGAAAGCCCGGGGCUCAACCCCGGGUCGGCCGUGCGAACUGUCGAGCUGGAGCACUGUAGAGGCAGGUGGAAUUCCGGGUGUAGCGGUGGAAUGCGUAGAGAUCCGGAAGAACACCGGUGGCGAAGGCGGCCUGCUGGGCAGUGGCUGACGCUGAGGCGCGACAGCGUGGGGAGCAAACAGG
rnacentral:rRNA from 1 species